AAGUGUACCUGGGUCCCUAAACAUUGCUGCCGCCGCUGCUCUUAGCUAGGCAGUCUCAGACGCCCAAACCUCCCGAGACCAAUAUGGCGGCGCCCGAAGCUCGAAGCCGCUUUCUUUGUCUCCAGCUGUCCACACACUUGGAGUUGCUGAGUUAUGGCUGGCAUGCCCACCACCUCCUGAACUACACAUACAUCACCUCCUGAAUGGCUCUAGAAUGUUCAUCGAACAGGACUCAAUCCCAUAUAAAAAAGGUCUCUUACCCUAACUCAGGCUGUCACCAUUUUUCAUUUCUGGUGGCAGCCCACCCAUUUGCAGAUGCUCUUAAUAAAUCUCUGCUGUUAACUCUA